rnacentral:lncRNA from 1 species
AUGUAGUUGAAUAUCUCCUUCCCAGCCCCUAGCUGUCAGAAACUCAUUGAGGGCAAGCUUAUUAUAAAGGGAGAAAAGGAUAUUCCUGGACUGACAGAUACUGCUGUGCCUCAGUGAUAGAGGACCAAAAGAAACAGCAGAAUUCGAAGGUUUUUCAGUCUCUCUAAAGGAGAUGGUGUCCACCAAUAUGUCAGAAAGCUCUUACCAAAGAAGGUAAGAAGCCCAAAACCAAUGCACCCAAGAUUCACUGUCUUGCCACUCAGUAUGUCCUGCAAAAUAAAAACAGAUGAGUUUCUUUCUCUGAAAAAAAAACAACACAAUAGAAAAAUGAGGAGCCUAUAGAAUAUGCUAAUCUUUGGGCCAAGAGAAUUAAGGAAGCCAAAGAAAAAGACCAGAAACUGAUUGCCAAGAAAUGGAGGCUGUUCUCCCUGAGAACCUCGACUUCUAAGUCUGAGUCCAGUCAAAAAUAA